rnacentral:rRNA from 1 species
GUGCAGCAGGCGCGAAAACUUCACACUGUGCGAAAGCACGAUGAGGGAAUCCCAAGUGCUUGCACGUAAGUGUAAGCUGUUUCUCUGUCUAAAACGCAGAGAGAGUAAGGGCUGGGUAAGACGGGUGCCAGCCGCCGCGGUAAUACCUGCAGCUCAAGUGGUGACCGUUAUUAUUGGGCCUAAAACGUCCGUAGCCGGUUUAAUAAAUGCCUGGGUAAAUUGUGUAGCUUAACUAUACGAAUUCCGGGUAGACUGUUAAACUUGAGACCGGGAGAAGUUAGAGGUACUCCUGGGGUAGAGGUGAAAUUCUGUAAUCCUAGGGGGACCACCAGUGGCGAAGGCGUCUAACUAGAACGGGUCUGACGGUGAGGGACGAAGCCCUGGGGCG